rnacentral:rRNA from 1 species
ACCGAACGCUGGCGGCAUGCCUAACACAUGCAAGUCGAACGAGACCUUCGGGUCUAGUGGCGCACGGGUGCGUAACGAGUGGGAAUCUGCCAUCUGGUUCGGAACAACAGUUGGAAGCGACUGCUAAUACCGGAUAAUGACCUCGGUCCAACGAUCUAUCGCGUGAGGAUGAGCCCGCGUCGGAUUAGCUGGUUGGUAGGGGAAAAGCUCACCAAGGGGACGUUCCGUAGCUGGUCUGAGAGGAUGAGCAGCCACACUGGGACUGAGACACGGCCCAGACUCCUACGGGAGGCAGCAGUGGGGAAUAUUGGACAAUGGGCGAAAGCCUGAUCCAGCAAUGCCGCGUGAGUGAUGAAGGCCUUAGGGUUGUAAAGCUCUUUUACCCGGGAUGAUAAUGACAGUACCGGGAGAAUAAGCCCCGGCUAACUCCGUGCCAGCCGCCGCAGUAA